UGUUUGCUAGCCUUCUCCUGGCCCGCCAGGGUCUGCUGACAGAGCAGUAGCAGAACCCGCGGGCCAAUCCAGCUUUCUUGAUGUUCUUCUUCAUUUUUCACGUUGACCUAAUUUGGGUAUCGAGCUGGGGCCCUUCUCGGAGCCAGAGCUUAGGACGCCAGGCGAGGAGGACUCACGCGCUAAGCAGCAAGCCCUGUCUGCCUCCAGGAGCCCCGAGCCCAGUGGAGGAGACCACCAAGAUCCAGGCAGGCAGGAAGGGCUGGAGCUAAUCCAUGCAAGGAAGGCGCGAGCACUCGGGAGCAGAAAGGCUCCGUGCCGAGGCCAGGCCUCAGCUGAGUCAGGACGCAGGGCUAAAGGAGGCGAUCACUUUGGCCGGCCGGCCGGCAUAGACAGUGCUGAGGCCCGAAGGGUCCUGGCUCACCUCAUUCAUUGUGAAUGUUCCUCCCUGCCUGACAUUCCUCACGUGGUAAUCCCAGGUAAUGGAUCCCAGCGGAGCCGAAUGGUGGCUGUCUCUGAUAAGGAGACUUCUCCCAAGAGCCCUCGGGGCACUCAGAACCCCUGGGGUUGACUCGUCAGAGCUAAUAGAAAGGAAAAUGACUUUAUGAAUGGCUCCCAGAUAGAUAGGAGAAGGCCCCAGCUCUGUGCCCGAUUAGAGACUGGCUGGGAUCAUUUCACACAGCCGGGUGUGUAUUUAUUUGCUGCAGCAGCCUGGCUGCUGAGGACAGAGCUGAAGAAUGGGUGUUGGCCAGGGGAAACCAGCUGAGAUUCUCUUCCUCCGUGAUCUGGGUCUGACCCUCGCCAGAAGAAGCAGGCUCAGGGCCCCUCGCGAUCCAGCAAAGACUCUGAAGCGGAUCCUGAGCUCUUCUCAGGAAUUUUUGGCCAAAGGUAGUCCCAAAGGUCCCGAUUGUGCUAGGAAAUUCCAUAAUCAGACGUCCUGAUCAGUAUAUGGAAAGCCAACGUAAGAGCCUCUGAGAUGCUCUGCAAAUCCUGCCCUCCCAACUGUCUUCUCCUCCAUGCUCUUUUCUAACCCUCGCAUCCACCUCACAGGCACUUUGCCUACGUUAUGCAGUGCUCCAAUAGCUUAGGAGAUGGAUCCAGGAGAAGAACAUGAUUCCUUCAGCACCUGUAACUAUCCACGUUCUUCACCGUGAAUCAUAGGGACCCCUGUAUAAAAAAGAGGGAGAAGGUGCAGCUAGGUGCCUCAGUGUAUAGGGACCAAGCCCCCGAGUUCAGAGAACCUGGGUUCAAAUCCAGCCUCAGACACUCCUUAGCUGUAUAAGUAUGACCCUGGGCAAGUCACAGCCUCAACUGCCUAGCCCUCACCACUCUUCUGCCUCAGAACUGGUACUUAGGAAUAAUUUUAGGACAGAAGGUGAGGAUUUUAGAAAGAACUAAUUCAAAAGAGGGAGAAGUGAUUUGGUUAUUGGAGACAAUAGACAGAAAGAAGAAUACCUGGGGAGUUUGGUAGGAGAUCUCAUUUGGCACACAGGCAUGCUAGAGUGGUGACUGCGACUUCAGUGUUCCAGCGUCUAGCCUCUCUCUGUCUCUGUCUCUGUCUCUCUCAACGUCAUUUGGUAAUUAUUUCACUCUUCAAAAAGUAGACGAUACAAGGGGAAAUUUUAUCCCGGGACUGUUCAUCACUAACAGGGAAAAACUAUUUGUUGGGGUGGAAAUGAUGAGGACCCCUAGUGGGAAAGUGGUCACUCCGUCCUAGACUUUCUGCUUGACAGUCGGGGCAAAUCUGGUGAUCUGGAAGAUCAAGCAGGCAGUUGGGGGAAAUCAGAAUGCAAAGGGUGCAGAAGUUUCUCAUUUUCAAGAAACAAGGGAAAGCAAUGCCAGAGAGGGGGAAAACAGGGUAUGUCUGAAAAGAAUGAUGGAGAAGCACAUUUACUUAGAAUUUUAAAAUAAAAGUAAAGAAGGUGGAGGCA
ensembl:lncRNA